rnacentral:rRNA from 1 species
GACGAACGCUGGCGGCGUGCCUAAUACAUGCAAGUCGAACGCACUCUCGUUUAGAUUGAAGGAGCUCGCUCCUGAUUGAUAAACAUUUGAGUGAGUGGCGGACGGGUGAGUAACACGUGGGUAACCUGCCCUAAAGUGGGGGAUAACAUUUGGAAACAGAUGCUAAUACCGCAUAAAACCUAAACACCGCAUGGUGUAGGGUUGAAAGAUGGUUUCGGCUAUCACUUUAGGAUGGACCCGCGGUGCAUUAGUUAGUUGGUGAGGUAAAGGCUCACCAAGACCGUGAUGCAUAGCCGACCUGAGAGGGUAAUCGGCCACACUGGGACUGAGACACGGCCCAGACUCCUACGGGAGGCAGCAGUAGGGAAUCUUCCACAAUGGACGAAAGUCUGAUGGAGCAACGCCGCGUGAGUGAAGAAGGUUUCGGAUCGUAAAACUCUGUUGUUGGAGAAGAAUGUAUCUGAUAGUAACUGAUCAGGUAGUGACGGUAU